rnacentral:rRNA from 1 species
GACGAACGCUGGCGGCGUGCUUAACACAUGCAAGUCGAACGAUGAACUUGGAGCUUGCGCUGGGGGAUUAGUGGCGAACGGGUGAGUAACACGUGAGUAACCUGCCCUGGACUCUGGGAUAACUUCGAGAAAUCGGAGCUAAUACCGGAUAGGACCUUUCACCGCAUGGUGUGGGGUGGAAAGUUUUUCGGUUUGGGAUGGACUCGCGGCCUAUCAGCUUGUUGGUGAGGUAAUGGCUUACCAAGGCGUCGACGGGUAGCCGGCCUGAGAGGGUGACCGGCCACACUGGGACUGAGACACGGCCCAGACUCCUACGGGAGGCAGCAGUGGGGAAUAUUGCACAAUGGGCGCAAGCCUGAUGCAGCAACGCCGCGUGCGGGAUGACGGCUUUCGGGUUGUAAACCGCUUUUAGUAGGGAAGAAGCCUUCGGGUGACGGUACCUGCAGAAAAAGGACCGGCUAACUACGUGCCAGCCGCCGCAGUAACAC